rnacentral:rRNA from 1 species
AACGUAGGAAGCGAGCGUUAUCCGGAUUUACUGGGCGUAAAGCGUGUGUAGGCGGUUUGAUAAGUUGGAUGUGAAAGCUCCUGGCUUAACUGGGAGAGGUCGUUCAAAACUAUCAGACUCGAGAGUGGUAGAGGGAGGUGGAAUUCCGGGUGUAGUGGUGAAAUGCGUAGAUAUCCGGAGGAACACCAGUGGCGAAAGCGGCCUCCUGGCCCAUUUCUGACGCUCAGACACGAAAGCUAAGGUAGCAAACGGG